UGGAAAACUAGGAAAAAUAUAUGUUUCUGCUUUUUAAUCAAAAUCAAAUCUUUAAAACUGGAGGACGUUUAUCAACAACCCAUACUUAAUACAUAUUCCAGCCUUUUUCAUCUCAAUUUAUGCAAUAGACAUUUUGGAUAAAUCCAUAUUUUUUUAGAUAUUCUCCAACAACAGAAUUCUGAAAUGAUUGAAUGGUUGGAAAUUACUCAAGAAAAACCACGCGUGAGCUACUGAUAAGGGUCUAGGCCGAUACGAAACCACGUUUUCCGUAGAGUUGGAGAGGGACCUAGUUCAACAUAUCAAAUUAUUGGAAUCUUGUUUAUUUGGUUUAUCAUGCGAUGAAGUUCGUUUCUUGGCGUAUCAACUGGCAGAAAGAAAUGGAAUUGCACACAGGUUCAACUCAACUACUAAAAUGGCUGGUUGGGAUUGGCUACGUGGAUUUAGGUCCAGAAACCCCGAUAUAUCUCUUAGAAAGCCUGAAGCUACUUCGGCCGAAAGAGCACAAUCCUUCAAUAAACCGCAAAUUGCUAAUUUUUUUAGAACUUUUCAAGAGACAAUUGAAAAAGAGCAUAUCAACCCCACGCGCAUUUGGAAUGUAGACGAAUCUGGCCUGUCUACUGUCCAAAAACCUAGCCGAAUACUUACUGCCAAAAGUCGAAAACAAGUUGGCUUAAUUUCAAGUGCUGAAAGGGGGCAACAUAUUACGGCUGUGGUUUGCAUGAGCGCAUCAGGAGCCUAUAUUCCCCCUUCUUUUUUCCCAGAAAAAACUGGAAAAAGGAACUGACCGACAAGGCUCCCUUAGGUACAUUGGGAAUAGCUCAGGAGACAAGCUGGAUGACGGGCGAGAUUUUUAUAAAAUGGAUGCAACAUUUUAGAGAAUAUUCUAAUCCUUCAAAGGCAAAUAAAGUGUUACUUCUGGUUGAUGGUCAUGCUAGCCAUAAAACUCUAGAUGUUCAAGAUUUGCUAAAGAAAAUGGAAUAGAAAUGAUAUGUUUCCCACCUCAUUGCACCCACCGGCUGCAACCUUUAGAUGUGUGCUUUUUUGGGCCAUUAAAAACAUUUUAUGAUCAAGAAGUUACAAAAUGGCUAAAAUGUCAUCCAGGCAAAACUGUUUCUUCAUAUCAGAUUGGCGGCUUAUUUGCUGCAGCGUAUGGAAAAGCAGCUACAAAUCAAAAUGCUGUAAGUGGGUUUAUGAAAACAGGAAUAUGGCCGCUAAACCCAGAUAUAUUUCCUGAUUAUCUGUUUAACCCUGCAAUGGUCGCAGAUAGAUAUCAAGAUGGUGAUACUCAAGUGGCUAACCAUUCAUUGAAUAUAAACAAUAUUUCAGUUAUUCGCCCACAAGACAUUUCCCCUCUUCCAAGUUCAUCCGGGAUACAAGCAAACCCAAGAAAGCGGAAGGCAGAAGUACGUAAGGCUGCCAUAGUAGCAUCCGAACACUUUGUCCCAAUGGACGAAAACUCUGAUAAUGAAAAGCCGUUUCAAGAUGAAGACGACGAAGAUGAUCCACCCUGCCUAUAUUGUAACAGUUUGUACUCUAUGUCCAAGUCCAAGGAAACAUGGGUUAGAUGUCAAUCGUGCUCGAAAUGGGCACAUUGUGAAUGUGCUGGUAUUUCUAAAACAAGCAAACAAUAUGUAUGUAAACUUUGUUAGUUUUAACUUGUAAUGACCUUAUGUACCUAUGUAAGUUUCUUAUGUUAUUUUACCCAAGUAUGCUCGGGUAAAAUGACACAUUUACAUAUUUCUUUUUAUAUUUUUUUCGCCAGGAUUAUUCAUUUAUUAA